rnacentral:misc_RNA from 1 species
AACGAGGCCGACCUGCGGCUGAGUUACCUGCGGAGGGAUCAUUACAGAGUUCAUGCCCUCACGGGUAGAUCUCCCACCCUUGAAUACUAUACCUUUGUUGCUUUGGCGGGCCGCUUUGGCUACUGGCUCUGGCUAGUAAGUGCCCGCCAAAGAACCCCAAAACUCUGAAUAUUAGUGUCGUCUGAGUACUAUAUAAUAGUUAAAACUUUCAACAACGGAUCUCAGAUCGGAAGAGCACAC